GCCAUGACUAAGCAGGACCAG
rnacentral:miRNA from 1 species